AGAGUUUGAUCAUGGCUCAGAGCGAACGCUGGCGGCGUGCCUGACACAUGCAAGUCGAGCGUGAAAGCCCCUUCGGGGGUGAGUAAAGCGGCGAACGGGUGAGUAACACGUGGGUAACCUGCCUUCGAGAGGGGGAUAACCAUUCGAAAGGGUGGCUAAUACCCCAUAAGGCCACAGAUUCCAAGGAAUCAGGGGUAAAAGGUGGCAGAAACUUAGUUUCUGCUGUCGCUUGGAGAGGAGCCCGCGCGCCAUUAGUUAGUUGGUAGGGUAACGGCCUACCAAGACGACGAUGGCUAGCUGGUCUGAGAGGAUGAUCAGCCACACUGGGACUGAAACACGGCCCAGACUCCUACGGGAGGCAGCAGUGAGGAAUUUUGCGCAAUGGGGGAAACCCUGACGCAGCGACGCCGCGUGGGUGAAGAAGGCUUUCGAGUCGUAAAGCCCUGUCAGGUGGGACGAAUAAAGCUCGUCGAUAAAACGGGCUUUUUGACGGUACCACCAGAGGAAGCACCGGCUAACUCCGUGCCAGCAGCCGCGGUAAUACGGAGGGUGCUAGCGUUGCUCGGAAUUACUGGGCGUAAAGCGCGUGUAGGCGGCCAGGUAAGUUAGAUGUGAAAGCCCUCGGCUCAACCGGGGAAUUGCAUCUAAUACUGCUUGGCUUGAGUACGGGAGAGGGAGGCGGAAUUCCCAGUGUAGAGGUGAAAUUCGUAGAGAUUGGGAGGAACACCAGUGGCGAAAGCGGCCUCCUGGACCAAUACUGACGCUGAGACGCGAAAGCGUGGGGAGCAAACAGGAUUAGAUACCCUGGUAGUCCACGCCGUAACGAUGGGCACUAGGUAUGGGGAGUCUUUAUACUUUCCGUGCCGUAGCUAACGCAUUAAGUGCCCCGCCUGGGGGAGUACGAUCGCAAUGUUGAAACUUCAAUUGAUUGACGGAUCGUCGACUGCAGCAUGCCAGCUGCGUAUCAUGGUCAUAGCUGUUUCUGUUGUGAAAUUGUUAUCGCCUCACAUUCCACACCAACAUACGAGCGAAGCCAUAAGUGUAAAGCUGGGGUGCUUAAUGAGUGGACUUACUUCACAUAAUGCCUUGCUUCAUGCCUUCAGUCGGACCUGGUCUGUACAGCCU
rnacentral:rRNA from 1 species